rnacentral:rRNA from 1 species
GAGUGAAAUAGAACCUGAAACCGUGUGCUUACAAGUAGUCAGAGCCCGUUAAUGGGUGAUGGCGUGCCUUUUGUAGAAUGAACCGGCGAGUUACGAUUUGAUGCAAGGUUAAGCAGUAAAUGUGGAGCCGUAGCGAAAGCGAGUCUGAAUAGGGCGUUUAGUAUUUGGUCGUAGACCCGAAACCAGGUGAUCUACCCUUGGUCAGGUUGAAGUUCAGGUAACACUGAAUGGAGGACCGAACCGACUUACGUUGAAAAGUGAGCGGAUGAACUGAGGGUAGCGGAGAAAUUCCAAUCGAACCUGGAGAUAGCUGGUUCUCUCCGAAAUAGCUUUAGGGCUAGCCUCAAGUGAUGAUUAUUGGAGGUAGAGCACUGUUUGGACGAGGGGCCCCUCUCGGGUUACCGAAUUCAGACAAACUCCGAAUGCCAAUUAAUUUAACUUGGGAGUCAGAACAUGGGUGAUAAGGUCCGUGUUCGAAAGGGAAACAGCCCAGACCACCAGCUAAGGUCCCAAAAUAUAUGUUAAGUGGAAAAGGAUGUGGCGUUGCCCAGACAACUAGGAUGUUGGCUUAGAAGCAGCCAUCAUUUAAAGAGUGCGUAAUAGCUCACUAGUCGAGUGACACUGCGCCGAAAAUGUACCGGGGCUAAACAUAUUACCGAAGCUGUGGAUUGUCCUUUGGACAAUGGUAGGAGAGCGUUCUAAGGGCGUUGAAGCAUGAUCGUAAGGACAUGUGGAGCGCUUAGAAGUGAGAAUGCCGGUGUGAGUAGCGAAAGACGGGUGAGAAUCCCGUCCACCGAUUGACUAAGGUUUCCAGAGGAAGGCUCGUCCGCUCUGGGUUAGUCGGGUCCUAAGCUGAGGCCGACAGGCGUAGGCGAUGGAUAACAGGUUGAUAUUCCUGUACCACCUAUAAUCGUUUUAAUCGAUGGGGGGACGCAGUAGGAUAGGCGAAGCGUGCGAUUGGAUUGCACGUCUAAGCAGUAAGGCUGAGUAUUAGGCAAAUCCGGUACUCGUUAAGGCUGAGCUGUGAUGGGGAGAAGACAUUGAGUCUUCGAGUCGUUGAUUUCACACUGCCGAGAAAAGCCUCUAGAUAGAAAAUAGGUGCCCGUACCGCAAACCGACACAGGUAGUCAAGAUGAGAAUUCUAAGGUGAGCGAGCGAACUCUCGUUAAGGAACUCGGCAAAAUGACCCCGUAACUUCGGGAGAAGGGGUGCUCUUUAGGGUUAACGCCCAGAAGAGCCGCAGUGAAUAGGCCCAAGCGACUGUUUAUCAAAAACACAGGUCUCUGCUAAACCGUAAGGUGAUGUAUAGGGGCUGACGCCUGCCCGGUGCUGGAAGGUUAAGAGGAGUGGUUAGCUUCUGCGAAGCUACGAAUCGAAGCCCCAGUAAACGGCGGCCGUAACUAUAACGGUCCUAAGGUAGCGAAAUUCCUUGUCGGGUAAGUUCCGACCCGCACGAAAGGCGUAACGAUUUGGGCACUGUCUCAACGAGAGACUCGGUGAAAUCAUAGUACCUGUGAAGAUGCAGGUUACCCGCGACAGGACGGAAAGACCCCGUGGAGCUUUACUGUAGCCUGAUAUUGAAAUUCGGCACAGCUUGUACAGGAUAGGUAGGAGCCUUUGAAACGUGAGCGCUAGCUUACGUGGAGGCGCUGGUGGGAUACUACCCUAGCUGUGUUGGCUUUCUAACCCGCACCACUUAUCGUGGUGGGAGACAGUGUCAAGCGGGCAGUUUGACUGGGGCGGUCGCCUCCUAAAAGGUAACGGAGGCGCUCAAAGGUUCCCUCAGAAUGGUUGGAAAUCAUUCAUAGAGUGCAAAGGCAUAAGGGAGCUUGACUGCGAGACCUACAAGUCGAGCAGGGUCGAAAGACGGACUUAGUGAUCCGGUGGUUCCGCAUGGAAGGGCCAUCGCUCAACGGAUAAAAGCUACCCCGGGGAUAACAGGCUUAUCUCCCCCAAGAGUUCACAUCGACGGGGAGGUUUGGCACCUCGAUGUCGGCUCAUCGCAUCCUGGGGCUGUAGUCGGUCCCAAGGGUUGGGCUGUUCGCCCAUUAAAGCGGUACGCGAGCUGGGUUCAGAACGUCGUGAGACAGUUCGGUCCCUAUCCGUCGUGGGCGUAGGAAAUUUGAGAGGAGCUGUCCUUAGUACGAGAGGACCGGGAUGGACAUACCUCUGGUGUACCAGUUGUCGUGCCAACGGCAUAGCUGGGUAGCUAUGUGUGGACGGGAUAAGUGCUGAAAGCAUCUAAGCAUGAAGCCCCCCUCAAGAUGAGAUUUCCCAACUUCGGUUAUAAGAUCCCUCAAAGAUGAUGAGGUUAAUAGGUUCGAGGUGGAAGCAUGGUGACAUGUGGAGCUGACGAAUACUAAUCGAUCGAAGACUUAAUCAA